rnacentral:rRNA from 1 species
ACGCUCGACACCUACGGGAGACAGCAGUCGGGAAUAUUGCGCAAUGGAGGAAACUCUGACGCAGUGACGCCGCGUAUGGGAAGAAGGUUUUCGGAUUGUAAACCAUUUUAGACAGGGAAGAAAAAAGACAGUACCUGUAGAAUAAGCUCCGGCUAACUACGUGCCUGCAGCCGCGGUAAUCUGAGCGGGCUGGCAAGGC